GCUCACGCGCACAGAGGACACCAACGCGCGAAGGACGACCUACGGCAGAGGAGUGUAGGCUGACGUCGACCGGAAGAGACAGAUCUCAAGCGCCAUCAUGGGCUUCCUUCAAUGCCGAGCACGCCUUGUUGGAGGAGCGAGGAUGGGACGCCGGUUCAGCCGCGGGCGUCCGGUCGGUAAGCCAAAGAUCGGCGGCCGAGCCCCUCCGUCGACCGGACCUCCUCGCCUAUAAAUAGCGGGGCACCACCUCCGUCGAAGGAGACAGACGAGGCCAGCAAGCUCAGAGAGGU
rnacentral:lncRNA from 1 species